UACCGUCCCUGAGAGUUCAAUG
rnacentral:miRNA from 1 species